rnacentral:rRNA from 1 species
AUCGGGGCAGGGUGAGUCGACCCCUAAGGCGAGGCCGAAAGGCGUAGUCGAUGGGAAACAGGUUAAUAUUCCUGUACUUGGUGUUACUGCGAAGGGGGGGACGGAGAAGGCUAUGUUAGCCGGGCGACGGUUGUCCCGGUUUUAAGCAUGUAGGCUGGUUAUCCAGGCAAAUCCGGAUAAUCAAGGCUGAGGUGUGAUGACGAGGCACUACGGUGCUGAAGUAACAAAUGCCCUGCUUCCAGGAAAAGCCUCUAAGCAUCAGGUAACAUCAAAUCGUACCCCAAACCGACACAGGUGGUCAGGUAGAGAAUACCAAGGCGCUUGAGAGAACUCGGGUGAAGGAACUAGGCAAAAUGGUGCCGUAACUUC